CGCGUAGGCGGCUAAGUAAGUCGGAUGUGAAAGCCCAGGGGCUUAACCUUGGAAUUGCAUUCGAUACUGCUUGGCUAGAGUAUGGUAGAGGGAAGUGGAAUUUCCGGUGUAGCGGUGAAAUGCGUAGAUAUCGGAAGGAACACCAGUGGCGAAGGCGACUUCCUGGGCCAAUACUGACGCUGAGGUGCGAAAGCGUGGGGAGCAAACA
rnacentral:rRNA from 1 species